rnacentral:rRNA from 1 species
GAGACAGCAGUAGCCGCGGGAAUACGUAGGUGGCAAGCGUUGUCCGGAAUUAUUGGGCGUAAAGGGCUCGCAGGCGGUUUCUUAAGUCUGAUGUGAAAGCCCCCGGCUCAACCGGGGAGGGUCAUUGGAAACUGGGAAACUUGAGUGCAGGAGAGGAGAGUGGAAUUCCACGUGUAGCGGUGAAAUGCGCAGAGAUGUGGAGGAACACCAGUGGCGAAGGCGACUCUCUGGUCUGUAACUGACGCUGAGGAGCGAAAGCGUGGGGAGCGAACAGGAUUAGAUACCCCAGUAGUCCCUGUCUCUUAUAC